rnacentral:tRNA from 2 species
GGGCCUAUAGCUCAGCGGUAGAGCCACCGGCUCAUAACCGGUUGGUCUCUGGUUCGAUCCCAGAUGGGCCCACCA